rnacentral:other from 1 species
CAGAUUCUGCGGUGUACGUUUGCCUAGUUUAAUUCAACCGACAAAUCAGACAAGGGAUUCUGACGUUUGGACGGAUAAAACAAGCCUGCUUUGACUGGAAGUUUGAUGCCCUCCAACAAGUAACCCACCUUAUAUUAGGGCGGGUCUGAAUUAUUUUUGGGUGACGGCUCUGCGGAGUUUUA